rnacentral:rRNA from 1 species
GGGAACGUGCCCUUCGGUUCGGAAUAACUCAGGGAAACUUGAGCUAAUACCGGAUACGCCCUUUUGGGGAAAGGCUUGACUGCCGAAGGAUCGGCCCGCGUCUGAUUAGCUUGUUGGUGAGGUUACGGCUCACCAAGGCGACGAUCAGUAGCUGGUCUGAGAGGAUGAUCAGCCACACUGGGACUGAGACACGGCCCAGACUCCUACGGGAGGCAGCAGUGGGGAAUAUUGGACAAUGGGGGCAACCCUGAUCCAGCCAUGCCGCGUGAGUGAUGACGGCCUUAGGGUUGUAAAGCUCUUUUCUCCGGGACGAUAAUGACGGUACCGGAGGAAUAAGCCCCGGCUAACUUCGUGCCAGCAGCCGCGGUAAUACGAAGGGGGCUAGCGUUGCUCGGAAUCACUGGGCGUAAAGGGCGCGUAGGCGGCUGAUUUAGUCGAGGGUGAAAGCCCGUGGCUCAACCACGGAAUGGCCUUCGAUACUGGUUGGCUUGAGACCGGAAGAGGACAGCGGAACUGCGAGU